rnacentral:misc_RNA from 1 species
AAGGAAGACGGAGUUAGGGUUUCCUUCAAAGAUCGGCCGAGUUUAAGUGGCGAUUAUUUGGUGUACGUGUCGACUCACGAGGAUCCUGGUGAGUCUAGAACGAGUUGGGCGGCAGUGUACUCAAGGAGUUUGAAAUCCGGUAUAACUCGGCGAUUGACGCCUUACGGAAUCGCCGAUUUUAGCCCCUCUGUUUCGCCGUCUGGAAUUUGGACGGCUGUGGCUUCUUACGGUGAGAAGGGUUGGGCCGGCGAGGUUGAGGAACUAAGUACUGAUUUAUACAUCUUCCUAACUCGCGACGGAACACGUCGAGUUAAGGUCGUCGAACACGGUGGCUGGCCGUGUUGGGCUGACGAUUCAACUCUGUAUUUUCACCGGAGAGGUGAUGAUCAGUGGCUGAGUAUAUACAGAGCGAUUCUACCGAGUCAUGGAGAAGUUUCUCCCGAUUCAGUGAAAAUCGAACGACUCACACCACCUGGUUUGCACGUAUUCACUCCGGCCACUUCACCGGCCAACAAAAACCUCAUCGCCGUUGCAACGAGAAGACCCGAUUCAUCUUUUCGCCACAUAGAGCUGUUCAACCUCGUAACCAGAGAGUUCAAGGAGUUGACGAAAACGGUUUCGCCUAAAUCUCAUCAUUUCAAUCCGUUCAUCUCCGCCGACGGGACAAGUAUCGGUUACCACAAGUGCAGAGGCGACGACAAUGGAAGAAAAAACAACCCCCUAUUCUUAGAGAACGUUCGUAGCCCUGUCUCUAACUUAUCCUUAUUCAGAAUCGCCGGUUCUUUUCCCUCUUUUUCGCCUGCCGGUGACCGUAUAGCGUACGCGAACUUCCCGGGAUUAUACGUCAUCAAUCGGGACGGUUCGAACCGACGGGUGGUUUUCUCUGGCGCAGCGUUCUCCACCGCGUGGGACCCAGUGCGGGAAGGUGUAGUAUACACCAGCGCCGGUCCCGAUUUUGCGGCGGUGAGUUCUGAAGUCGAUAUCAUUGCAGUCAACGUCGAUGACGACGAGAGAAAUUUCAAGAAGCUGACGACGAACGGUGUAAACAAUGCCUUCCCAUCGCCGUCCCCCGACGGGAAAUGGAUCGUUUUCCGGUCGGGUCGAACCGGGUACAAGAACUUGUACAUAAUGGACGCCGUCGACGGUGAGAGAAAAGGGCUUCGCCGGCUUACAGAAGGCAAGUGGACGGAUACGAUGUGCAGUUGGUCGCCGGACGGUGAUUGGAUUGCAUUUUCAUCGGACCGGGAUAAUCCCGGAGCCGGAAGUUUCGAUCUGUUCUUGAUCCACCCGAACGGAACCGGGUUGAGGAAGCUGUUUCAAAGCGGCUCGGGCUGUGUGGGUUCGAUAUUGGCUCCGCAGAUAUUCCCGCAUUGUCUGUAGUGAACACUAGAACCUUCCCGUCGGGACUCCAAUUCGGGUGGU